rnacentral:rRNA from 1 species
UGGGGAAUUUUGGACAAUGGGCACAAGCCUGAUCCAGCAAUGCCGCGUGCAGGAUGAAGGCCUUCGGGUUGUAAACUGCUUUUGUACGGAGCGAAAAGGUCUGCCCUAAUACGGUGGGCUCAUGACGGUACCGUAAGAAUAAGCACCGGCUAACUACGUGCCAGCAGCCGCGGUAAUACGUAGGGUGCGAGCGUUAAUCGGAAUUACUGGGCGUAAAGCGUGCGCAGGCGGUUAUAUAAGACAGAUGUGAAAUCCCCGGGCUCAACCUGGGACCUGCAUUUGUGAAUGUAUAGCUAGAGUACGGUAGAGGGGGAUGGAAUUCCGCGUGUAGCAGUGAAAUGCGUAGAUAUGCGGAGGAACAACGAUGGCGAAGGCAAUCCCCUGGACCUGUACUGACGAUCAUGCACGAAAGCGUGGGGAGCAAACA